rnacentral:siRNA from 1 species
UUAUCUUAUCAGCUCUUG